rnacentral:lncRNA from 1 species
UGCUUGAUACACAUACAUCAAUUAAUCCGCACAUAGUAAGGGCAAUCACCCCAACAAGAUAAGAACUGGAUUUCAUCACCAGAUUUUUUCCCAAAUUAGGUGAAUCAAUUCUCACAUAGCCAUCACUUUAAUUAAAAUCAAUUAGACGUUGGCCCCUAGGGACAUUCGAGCUCAAUAGGACGAAGAUCACUGAAAGUUGUACCAAUUUUGCUCUGUGGCUCAGUUGAUGUCUAGGCAAGCUUUGUCCCUUAAGGGAGACAGUUCAUCUGUUCGAGGCAAGUAGUUUUUAAGUGAUACCUUUGCGAAUGCAUCGUGACCCCUCCACUUACCUGGGAGCUUACCUGGUCAACUCAGUUCAUUAGACCGGAUUGGAGGCUUAGGUACCCUCUUCAAACCACUUAGGAAAUGUCUAUUGAUUUUAGGGCAAACACAAGGAUUUGAUGUAUUUUUCUUUUAUGCAUGCUUGACUGCACUUGACUGAUCAGAAGAGUUUUAGUAUAUGCUAGCAUUGUUGGGAACCUGCCCAUGCCGCAGAAAAUUUAAAAAAUUCAGAUGGCAGCGGAAGAGGCAUAAGCGGGAUCAAUCGUUCAUCACAUGAACGUUGUUCAAAAACCGUGCGUAGAUAGAUUAGAAUUAAAAACUUUUAAAACAAUUAUGAAGAUUAGAUCUUCACCUUGUGCGGGUAGAUGAUCACCGCAAACUGAUGAUCGUGAUUUUGAAAGAAGGCUCGCUUGAAGCUGCACAAGCAUCCGGCCUCUACGGG